UGCAAGUCGAACGAAGGCUUCGGCCUUAGUGGCGCACGGGUGCGUAACGCGUGGGAAUCUGCCCUUGGGUCUGGAAUAACUCGCCGAAAGGCGUGCUAAUACCGGAUGAUGACGUAAGUCCAAAGAUUUAUCGCCCAGGGAUGAGCCCGCGUAGGAUUAGCUAGUUGGUGAGGUAAAGGCUCACCAAGGCGACGAUCCUUAGCUGGUCUGAGAGGAUGAUCAGCCACACUGGGACUGAGACACGGCCCAGACUCCUACGGGAGGCAGCAGUGGGGAAUAUUGGACAAUGGGCGAAAGCCUGAUCCAGCAAUGCCGCGUGAGUGAUGAAGGCCUUAGGGUUGUAAAGCUCUUUUACCCGGGAUGAUAAUGACAGUACCGGGAGAAUAAGCUCCGGCUAACUCCGUGCCAGCAGCCGCGGUAAUACGGAGGGAGCUAGCGUUAUUCGGAAUUACUGGGCGUAAAGCGCACGUAGGCGGCUUUGUAAGUUAGAGGUGAAAGCCUGGAGCUCAACUCCAGAAUUGCCUUUAAGACUGCAUCGCUUGAAUCCAGGAGAGGUGAGUGGAAUUCCGAGUGUAGAGGUGAAAUUCGUAGAUAUUCGGAAGAACACCAGUGGCGAAGGCGGCUCACUGGACUGGUAUUGACGCUGAGGUGCGAAAGCG
rnacentral:rRNA from 1 species